CGCUGUUUUAUAAUAUUAUCUUUGAUAGCCACACUUUUGGUGUAUUAUGGUUUAACAGGUGAGUGCAAUUUUACUAAAUUUUAAAAUUAAUUUCUUUAGUUAAAAAAGGAAUAUAUAGGAUAAGGUUUUAUGGGGGAAAAUUUUGUCCGUAAAUAAUUCGCCAAACUCUAGCGGAACGAGAAACUUCGAUAAAUCACAUUACAUUAAAUCUCAACCAUAUUUCCUACUGUGGUUGAAUCGACACAAUAUGUCACGAUAGUGUGUUUUUCCUCUGUAGUUUAACAUCGCUUUCAACCCGAUGAGCACUAACCAUGCCCAUCACGGCCUGGCCAAUAUUUAUCAAGUGGAGAAUGGAAUUCAAUCAGACAGUUUCGAAUUCCUUCCAAAUGACUUUUUUGGAAGUAUGGUACCCGAGUCUUCCAAGUGGACCGCGUGAUAAAACAGUCGCUUAUCACUUUUAUGAUCCGGAUUCGGUUCCGGGUCUCACAUGCCAGUUUUACAGAAGAGUCCGGACUUGGCCCCUUGAAUCCUAAUUUUAUGUUAAGCCGUCAUAUCACACUUGGGAUAUUCUAUCCUGGUAGCAGCUACUAUAGUCCACCAUUGGUUGGCCAACAUCCGUAGUGCAAACGGAAUAUAACCCUUGAACUUCGCGAAAUUCAAUGGACUGAUCCUAGACAUCUUCCUGAAAAACGAUAUGUGGGACCCGGAUUUGAAUCCGGUUCUUCCAAAAUGAUAAGCCAAUGUUUUACCACGCAGGCAUCUGAUCGAGAAUCCCAUUUUUCAAGUUGCUAAUUGACUUCAUCAUGGAUGUUGGCCGGUCUGUGAUAGGCUCUAAAAGUGACUUCCUUCAGGUACAGAAUAUUCCAUGUGAAAUGAGGC
rnacentral:lncRNA from 1 species